UAUUGGACAAUGGGCGAAAGCCUGAUCCAGCAAUGCCGCGUGAGUGAUGAAGGCCUUAGGGUUGUAAAGCUCUUUUACCCGGGAUGAUAAUGACAGUACCGGGAGAAUAAGCUCCGGCUAACUCCGUGCCAGCAGCCGCGGUAAUACGGAGGGAGCUAGCGUUGUUCGGAAUUACUGGGCGUAAAGCGUGCGCAGGCGGUUAUAUAAGACAGAUGUGAAAUCCCCGGGCUCAACCUCGGAAUUGCAUCUGUGACUGUAUAGCUAGAGUACGGUAGAGGGGGAUGGAAUUCCGCAGUGUAGCAGGUGAAAUGUCGUAGAUAUUCGGGAGGAACCACCCGAUGGGGGAAAGGGCAGAUCUCCACCGGAACCUGUAAUUGACGCUCAUGGUACGAAA
rnacentral:rRNA from 1 species